GCCUGAUUGGCUCAGGGGCAGAGCGUCUGUCUAGUGAACAGGAGGUAGCUGAUUUAAUUUCAGCAUGAGGCA
rnacentral:tRNA from 1 species